AUGGAUGGAGCAGUCCUGGGGUUCACUUUGGUUCCUUUCCUAGAGAGGAGGCUCUGGGCUGUGAGCUCAGCCCUGUCCAGCAGUGCAGCUCUGGCACUGCCCGGGCACAGCUCAGGCACAGCUCUGGCACUGCCCAGGUACAGCUCUGGCACAGCUCUGGGGCACAGCUCUGGCACAGCCCUGGCACUGCCCAGGCACAGCUCCGGGGCACAGCUCUGGCACAGCUCUGGGGCACAGCUCUGGCACAGCCCUGGCACUGCCCAGGCACAGCUCCGGGGCACAGCUCUGGCACAGGCACAGCUCUGGGGCACAGCUCUGGCACUGCCCAGGUACAGCUCUGGCACAGCUCUGGGGCACAGCUCUGGCAUUGCUGAGGCACAGCUCUGGAAGGCACAGCUCUGGCACAGCUCUGGGGCACAGCUCUGGCACAGCCCAGACACAGCUCUGGGGCACAGCUCUGGCACAGCUCUGGCACUACCCAGGCACAGCUCUGGGGCACAGCCCAGGUACAGCUCUGGGGCACAGCUCUGGCACAGCUCUGGCACUACCCAGGCACAGCUCUGGGGCACAGCCCAGGUACAGCUCUGGGGCACAGCUCUGGCACAGCUCAGGCACUGCCCAGACACAGCUCAGGGGCACAGCUCUGGUACUGCCCAGGCACAGCUUGGGUACAGCCCAGGCACAGCUCUAGCACAGCUCAGGCACUGCCCAGGCACAGCUCUGGCACAGCUCUGGAGCACAGGUCAGGCACAGCUCUGGCACAGCUCUGGCUCUGGCACAGCUCUGGCUCUGGGCACUGCUGUGGCACAGCUCUGGCACAGCUCUGGCACAGCUCUGGCUGCCUUUGGCCUCAGCACGGGGCACUUAAGGGACACAAAGGCAGUUCCACAGCUCUCUCAACUUUCACCUUGGCAGCCUCAAUACAAACCUCAUCUUAAGGGGCUCCAUGUAUGUUUUUCAGAAUUAAAAACAUGUUUUUUUAAUUUCUAUGUCACUUCCCUUAAGGUGCUUUUUUUCUGUGGGAGUCUGAGGGAAGAGCUGAAUUCCUCUUGA
rnacentral:lncRNA from 1 species